rnacentral:misc_RNA from 1 species
GAUGAAGAACGUAGCGAAAUGCGAUAAGUAAUGCGAAUUGCAGAAUUCAGUGAAUCAUCGAAUCUUUGAACGCACAUUGCGCCCGCCAGCACUCUGGUGGGCAUGCCUGUCCGAGCGUCAUUUCAACCCUCAGGGCCCCUUCGGGGGACCUGGCGUUGGGGAUCGGCCCGCCCCCGUGCGGCGCCGUCCCCGAAAUAUAGUGGCGGUCUCGCUGCAGCCUCCCCUGCGUAGUAGCACACCUCGCACUGGAGAGCGGCGCGGCCACGCCGUGAAACCCCCAACUUCUGAAUGUUGACCUCGGAUCAGGUAGGAAUACCCGCUGAACUUAAGCAUAUCAAUAAGCGGAGGA